GAGGGUAUAGCUCAGUGGUAAAGUGCUUGCCUAGCAUGCAGGAGGUCCUGGGUUCACUCCCCAGUACUGCCG
rnacentral:tRNA from 1 species